ACCUAACGUUAGCGUAACGUUACUGUAUGGUUCUCGUUUGGUUAUGCAAGAUGAGAACAUUCUAAGAACAUUCUCAGAACAUAUCAAAACCUAUGACACACAAAAUAUUUGCCUGCAAUGGAAACAGCAACCGUUAGGCUUUUCAAAGUGUUUUUUUUCCGCAAAUUUACUUUAUAUACAUUAUGUAGUAACGUUUCCCUAACGUUCCGCGAACGUGUUGUGUUUUUCGAGUAAUCUGACGCGCAUGCGCGUAGAAUCUUCCCUAAGACAAAGAAGGACUACCAAGCUCGACGACGUACGCUCGACAACGCUGCAAAUUCCAGAAUCCCGAUAAAUCAGGCAAUUGCAUUGAUCACAUGUAAGUAGAUAGAAAGAGUGAAAUACGAAGCACGUUUUUUUGUAACAAUUUCUACCCUAUGUAACAGAGUUAAAAUACACCUUUGUUAUUUAUUAUAUUUUGUUUGUGUAUUUUAUCUCCAAAUAGUUAUCUUGUCUGCUCGUCUAUGAGAGGGCGGUUUGAUAUCUUUUUGUCCCUCCUGAGCUCCUGUAGUUCUCCUGGGUUGUGUAGCCCCUCCCUUCUCCCCUCACAGAAAAGUUCCACAUGUUGAAGGUGAGUCUUGCUCGGACGGUCCCACCGACCUUUUCCUUGUUUUUCGGUAGAAAUUAGGUCUUUAAUUAAUGAAUGUGUGUACCAAGAAUGUGAAUAUGUUUACCUGUGUUGUCCUUUAGUUUUAAGUUCAGAUUACAGGUAACAUUACAUCGCUAACAUUGGCGCCAAACGGCCGCUCUUUGUUGUAUGAGACUUGUUCAGUGUGUGCGUGCGUGCGUGCGUGUGUGAGACUUGUUCAGUGCGUGCGUGCGUGCGUGUGUGCCUACAUGUGUCGGUAAUGAGACUUGUUCAGUGCGUGCGUGUGUGUGCCUACACGUGUAGGUAAUGAGACUUGUUCAGUGUGUGUGUGCGUGCGUGCGUGUUUGUGUGUGCGUACGUAUGUGUGUGUGCUUACGUGCGUAGGUAACAGUGUUAUUCUGUGUGUUUAGGCGUAAGCCAAAGAAAGACGGGAUACCGACAUUGUCUGAUUGUCGCCCGCAGGUUGGAAGAAAAAUAAAUGAAGCUGAGAACAGUGGAAAAGUCUCAUUGUGCCGACCCAGAACAGUUACACUGGUGCCGUGAACCUUCGGAUCUUCAGAUCGGCUUGAUGCUCGUCGCCGCGGAUGCUGCGCUGAUGACCUGAUCUACGGUUGAUGAUUAUUGUGUGGUCGGAUCUCAAAACAGUGUGUUUGGGUACAGUGAUCUAUAUAUAUUUUUUUCUUUCUCUUUUUUUUUCUCUCCCUCUUUUAUUUUCAGUGGGUCGGUAACUUUCGGUAGUACAUUAUUUUUGUGCUAAAACACGUCUUAUUUUUUUUCCGAGUCCGUUUGUUCCGGUAUAAUUACACAACGCAAGUACAUAUCAUUAUUGGCAUCACGAUGGAUAAGUUUGUUACCCCUGUGUUAUCAAGAGGUAGGGGGAUUUUGUGUUCUGAUUUCACUAAUAGUAGGGAGGUGGGGCAUUCCAGCAUUGUAGCUGAUGGGUGUACAAAUAAGGGGUUGGGUCGAGGUUUGCUGUUCACUCCUGUUGACGAGUCCAUGAGGGAGACACCUCACACUUCCACACCCAACAGUGAUGUAGCUGCCAUCCACCACCUCACUGACAUGGUAGGGCAGUUAGGUGCCCAAAUUGGUGAAUCCAUUGUUGAAAAGCUAAUGUCAGCUGGUGUUGUGAAUAUGCAGAGUGACUGUCAGAGUAGUCCUGCUGUGCAGAACACACACAAUGGAGUUAGCAAGCAUGAUCUCCAGCAUUUGACAGUUCAAGUUAAGUCAGAUAAAGACCUCCAGACAUUUAGAGGUGACAACACUGACAGGUAUUCAGUGCAAGACUGGAUUGUUAUGACUAAGACUUACCUCAAGAGACACAAUGUUAUUAUAGAUGAUCAGGCGGAGGAAAUCUUGAACCAUUUGAUGGGCAAAGCCAGGGAUGUAGUGCAGAUUGCAUUGCGUAGUGAUCCUGGACUGAAUGUUAGACAGAGACCUGAACUAAUAUACAAUAUCCUACUCCAGUAUUUCAGUGAUGCUCCGUCAUGUCUCCCUCUUGCUGACUUUUAUGCUACUCUGCCCAAGCACAGAGAGAACCCAGUAGACUACUGGAUAAGACUGAACAAAGCAGCAGACCUGGCUCUUGAGGGUCUUCACAGACAAGGAAAAUAAUAUAUAAAUAUAUUAUAAAUAUAUAUUAUAAAUAUAUUAUAAUAUAUAAUAUAUUAUAAAUAACUCUUUGAUGCAGUAUUGAAAUGGUAAUAUUAUCUGAUUGUUUUCCAGAUGGCUCCUUCGUAUGUGGUCGUUGAGUUCCUUGGUGAACGUUCAGUCGCUGUUGUCCCAACCAUAUGGACAAAAGAUGAUGGAAAGAAUACCUUCUGCUAUUGGCCAAAGCCAAAUCCUACCCACUCCAGAAUCCGGAGAGCUGAGAUUCCUGACAAAGAAGUCUGGGAUAGGCUACCAAUUCGGGUUUUCAGGAAAACAUUGACUGAAGACUUUGACAAGGCCCUUCAAUAUGAAAAACAAGCUGAAAUGUUUUCGAGCCCAGAGGAAGAAGAAAUAUCAACCAAACGGAGCCACAUCACCCCUGAACGUUAUAGAAACGAUGAGGAAGAUGUGUUUGAUGCUGACGACGAAGAGGAAAUUCGGCCAAAAAAGAAGUGCAGAAAAGAGAAAUCACAGAUCCUCAUCCAGGCACCCCCACUGCCAGUGCUCCCACCAUUGAACUUUCCAAUCUCCAGCAAGUACCAGACCACUUCAGCCAGUACCAGCCAAUACUACACCACUCCAAGGCAUCCAGGCCGACCUCACAGCCCAGCGAGAAGCAGCACUUACAGGCUCAGUCCAGACAGGAAUCAUGCAUCUAGCUCAAGCCAGUACCAAACCACUCCAGCCAGUAUGAGUCAGUACCAGACCACUCCCAAGAAGCAGCAGGAAUGCCCUUGAAAGUGAACUUUUCCAGUUAAACAUGAAAGUUCAAAAACUAGUUGAGAACCAGGGAGAAAUUAUGCGCAUGCUGAGAGGGCUGGCAGCACAGUCUGUGGGGCCAGAAGCUGUGGAUGUUCAAGAUCUCAUUGAGAAGCCUUUCGAGACUCUUGAGCAGCUUAAGACCUUCAGUGAACAGCUCGACACUGAUCUUCUGCUCAGAAAGCAGCUGGUGAAAGCUCUUACUGCUCUUGGUGGGCAGAAUUUGGCAGACACAGUGAGGACAAUGCUGAGGAAAAUUGCCACAAACAAAGUCCUGGAGCAGCUUGGUCUCCGUGGAAAGACAGGCAAAGUGGCAUUUGAGGACUUGCCCUUUUUACAGAAUAAUAAUAAAGGCAUGCAGGGGUGUUCACAAACAGACGACCACAGCUGAAGUAGAUUGUGAGCUUGGAGAGGUCCUGAAACUGGCCACUUUUUGAAAGGGAGGUUCAAAGUUUGAGGAGAAGAGGAGGAAUUAAGAGGAAGCGACGGCGAAGAAGGGCAAAGGGAGGUGUACAAAGGAAAUGGACAGUGAGAUGAGUGACCAGGUAAAUGAUAAAGUAAUUAUGCCAAUGUUUUAAAUCAAUUCAUGAAGAUCCCAGUUCUGUGUUGAAUUUGCAAUUAUAAACACUCGAUUGUAUUGUACAUAUGUCCCGGCAAGAAAUCUGCGUUCAAAGAACUCCGGCUUAUUAUUGAUACCCAGAGCCCAAAAAAAGUCUGCGGGCUAUAGAGCGUUUUCUAUUGGGGCUCCAGUACUAUGGAAUGCCCUCCCGGUAACAAUUAGAGAUGCUACCUCAGUAGAAGCAUUUAAGUCCCAUCUUAAAACUCAUUUGUAUACUCUAGCCUUUAAAUAGACCCCCCUUUUAGACCAGUUGAUCUGCCGUUUCUUUUUUCUCCUCUGCUCCCCUCUUCCUUGCAUUCGGUCUCCCCUAGAGGGGGGGGUUACCCACAUAUGCGGUCCUCUCCAAGGUUUCUCAUAGUCAUUCACAUUGACGUCCCACUGGGGUGAGUUUUCCCUUGCCCUUAUGUGGGCUUUGUACCGAGGAUGUCAUUGUGGCUUGUGCAGCCCUUUGAGACACUUGUGAUUUAGGGCUAUAUAAAUAAACAUUGCUUGAUUGAUUGAUUGAAACACUUGCAGGAAGCGACGGCGAAGAAGGGCAAAGGGAGGUGUACAAAGGAAUAGGACAGUGAUAUGAGUGACCAGGAAGCGACGGCGAAGAAGUGCAAAGGGAGGUGUACAAAGGGAAUGGACAGUGAGAUGAGUGACCAGGAAGUGAAGAAGAAGAAAACAGGGAAAGGGAAAAGAACCAAGCAAACGCCAGUGAG